GGCCGUGCACAAGAUUUGGAGCGGAUCUCCUGUUGAAGAACAUCUCUAGACAUUAUGAGCCAUAUCACUAACUGAAAAUCAUUGAUAAACCACAAGAGUUUAGCUCCAACCCCAAUUAAGCAGACCUGAGCAGCUGAUCAAGGAUCACCAGAAACCAUGCCCAGGACUGGACACCAGUGUUGUUAGUCAUCAAUCUAGCAGUCAUCCUGCCUCUCUGAAUUGUCAUGUUCAGAACAUGAGUUUUGAUCCAACCUAGUGCAGUGCACCAGAACAAACUAAAUCCCAAAGUAUACUUAGUUUUUGUACGCGUACGCUAGUGUAUGCAUACAGUCGAACGCGUAACCUAAAACUGAUUACUGCAAAAUAUCUUCAAUACAUACAAAGCGUGACGAGUCGGUUGCCCUCCCCCUUAUGGUCAUCAUUUCUUUUGGACACUUUUUCACCUUGGACACUUUAUUUUAUUGUUUUUGUUUAAUAAAAGCCUCUCCGAGGCCUGACGCCACACCCACUGUGUCUGUCGUUGGCUCCUCCCGUCACAGUGGUGGAGAAUGCGGGCAAGGCGGAGCCUAGACAGCACAGUUGGGCAACACCUGAAGACGUCAUCCCCUCUCGCCCGCAGAAGUUCGUGGAAAACCAUAAUGGGACGGAGGAACGACGGAGACGGCCUCCCAGCCACCAAAGGGGUAAGUGACGUUUCUUCAGUUGUCAUUUUACCCUGUGGUUGGUGGAGGCUGUGGACUAAUACCCGGUUUCUAUGUCCCUGUUCCUGCGCGGUGUGAGAGGGAGGAUUGCCCGGAGAGGAAUCCCUGCCCCGCCCACUCCGACCGAUGGAGCCUGGUUGAGGAAGGUAGCACUCCUGCGUGGGCAGCGGCCUGAUGACGGGGAUGUCGUUUGGGGGGGGAAUGUGACGAGUCGGUUGCCCUCCCCCUUAUGGUCAUCACCACCCCGUCCCUUAUUCGCCGACCUUCACCAGGCUCCCGACGGGAGUGGGUGUAUGAGAGAGGAGGGGCGUGGAAACAGCGAGGGAUGGCGGCAUGUGAUGAGGCACAGCUGAACUGAAUGAAGCCUCAUCACCGCCGCUGUUUAAAUGCCAAGCGCGCCUCUCCUCGAGAGACCGGUCUCUUCCCCCGUGCAUGCACGCUCGUGUCCUCGUGGGUCCAGGAAGGGAGCGUCGAGGGACUUCCACGCCACCGGAGACGUGACCCGCCGAACCCGCGGUCCGGAAGAAGCCGCACUCGUGGACGGUCGUCGGGCCAGGAUGCUGGGCCUUACAAGUCCCGCCGGACUCCGCGGAAGAAGAGAAAGAGCCGCCGCUAGAAUGAAGCCGCCGCCCCUCGCUCCCCGGACCCGAGCGGGAACGCGUGCGGCCACCGGACUCCGCCCCUUACCUGGACCCUCC